AUCAUAUGGUGGCAGGCUCUAUCGUACCUGACGGCAAGAUGAAAUUAUGCUGAAUAGGUGUUGAUCACCUCUCCCAUGUACGGCUUGUCUGCUGUGUUUCAUUGAAGAUAAGGUAUUAAUCAGCAUCCGCUAUAAGGAUGAGAAAUUGAGAUGUAUCCACCUAAAGUGGAAGCUAUGCAAACAAAAGAUGAGGACAGCUGACAUGAGUGGCUGGCUUCUUACAUUCCAAAGGUAGAUUGUCUGCAUUGAAGCUAUGAGAGGCCUCCUUAAACUAGAUAUUCAUGGGGUUCAAGUUCCACAGGAAACAUGUGCCUUGAGUGCUCGAAAUUUCAGUUGUGCAUGAUUACUUCCAUUGAUGUUCUAAGUUAACCAGUUCCUAAAAUCAUUGCAGCUCUAUCCUGCUCAAAU